UACGAAGGGGGCUAGCGUUGUUCGGAAUUACUGGGCGUAAAGCGCACGUAGGCGGAUUGCCAAGUCAGGGGUGAAAUCCCGGGGCUCAACCUCGGAACUGCCUUUGAUACUGUCAGUCUAGAGUCCGGAAGAGGUGGGUGGAAUUCCUAGUGUAGAGGUGAAAUUCGCAGAUAUUAGGAAGAACACCGGUGGCGAAGGCGGCCCACUGGUCCGGAACUGACGCUGAGGUGCGAAAGCGUGGGGAGCAAACAGGAUUAGAAACCCCAGUAGUCC
rnacentral:rRNA from 1 species